UCCAGCAGAAGUCAGCUGUCCGGACAGAACCAUUCCUGUGAUGGUGUUACACUGCUGGGAGAGCAAUGUCUACUCUUCAUCCAGUUGCCUGUGUCACUGUUCUGGUGGCCUAUGGGCCUGGGCAAGACAGAACUGUGCUUCCUUGAGAGUGUGCUAAGCAUUUGCUUUGGCUGCUUAGUUCUAGUCUGAGAGCAGACACA
rnacentral:snoRNA from 1 species